rnacentral:rRNA from 1 species
AUGAACGCGAGUGCACAAGCAAGCUACCUCAAGAAGUUGAAUGAAGAUACAAGGAAUACCAUCGAGCGCCAAGUACAACGACUCGCGACCAAGCUCAACAUCAACAAGCAACCCAUGAUAUUCAACAUUGGAGAUCUCGUGUGGCUACACCAUCGCAAGGACCGCUUCCCCAAUGAACGCAAGUCCAAACUUCUACCUCGAGCUGAUGGACCCUAUGAGGUGCUAGCACGCUACAACAACAAUGCUUACAAGAUCGACCUCCCACGCGACAAGUACAACAUGAGGGACAUCUUCAAUGUCAAGGACCUCUCGCCAUACCAUGGUGAUGAAGCUUUCGAUCCGAGGUAG